rnacentral:misc_RNA from 1 species
UACCUAGGUUGCAAGCGUUGUCCGGGAUUAUUGGGCGUAAAGCGCGCGCAGGCGGCCUCUCAAGUCUGAUGUUCAAGCCCCCGGCUCAACCGGGGAGGGCCAUUGGAAACUGGGAAGCUAGGGUAUGGGAGAGGAUGGUAGAAUUCCAGGUGUAGCGGUGAAAUGCGUAGAGAUCUGGAGGAAUACCGAUGGCGAAGGCAGCCAUCUGGCCUAAUACUGAAGCUGAGGUACGAAAGCAUGGGGAGCAAACAGG